UACGUAGGGGGCUAGCGUUGUCCGGAAUCAUUGGGCGUAAAGCGCGUGUAGGCGGCCAUACAGGUCCGUUGUGAAAACUGGAGGCUUAACCUCCAGACGUCGAUGGAAACCGUAUGGCUAGAGUCCGGAAGAGGAGAGUGGAAUUCCUGGUGUAGCGGUGAAAUGCGCAGAUAUCAGGAAGAACACCCGUGGCGAAGGCGGCUCUCUGGGACGGUACUGACGCUGAGACGCGAAAGCGUGGGGAGCGAACAGG
rnacentral:rRNA from 1 species